CCACCCCACCGCCAUGUAGUUCUCUUCUUAGGCCGCCGUGGGGAGGCCCAUGUGGAGUCCUGGUCGGGUGGGUGGCACGGAGCGUCCUGAGAAGGGGUGUCAUGGCUGGGCUGGUUGCUCUAUGCUCGCCGGUGGCUCAGGGUCCAUGAGGCAAAGAGGCUCCCUGCACAAAGAUGGUUCCUAGUGAUGUGGACGGAGUGACAAUGGUAAUUUUAUAUUCUGUGAGUUUUUCACAAUUAAAAAGAAAAGAACUCGUGUGUGUGUGUGUGUAUUAUAAUGGCCUAGAAAGGAAAAUUCUCAAGUCAAACAGAGGAAUGAAUCAUGUGCUAAACCAUAGAUGAUUCUCAAAGACAUAGCACCACGUGUAAGAAACCAGCAUACGUGGCCACCGUUGUACAAAUCCAUGUACUUUAAAUAUGCAGAAUAGGCAAAUCAUUAGGGUCAAAAAGCACACAGACAAUUGCCAAAAGCUGGGGGAAGGCAGAAGGGGAAGUGCCUGUUUAGUGGGUAGUGGCUUUCUCUGCGAGGAGAUGAAGUGCUCUGAUUUAGAUAGCGGUGAUAGAUGCACAGCUUUGCAAAGAGAUGAUGAAUCAUUUGGAGAAGGAAAUGGCAAUCCACUCCAGUGAGUUGUACAUUUUACAGAGUAAAUUUUAUGAUAUGUGAAUUAGAGUCCAACUUAAAAAUUGUGAUUGAUAAAGGAUUGGUUUUUUUAAAGAAUUCACACAAGAAACACAUCUUAUCCUGAAUUUUGUUUGGUUCUCACCCUUCUAAAGUCUGUAGGCAAACAAACUUCUGGACAGGGAUGAGGAUUCAGGUUUCCUCCUUCAGGGACUGACUUCUCUGAGCUUCCCUUCAUCACCAAACAAUGAGGAUCCUCAGCCUCUGCAGGAGCUGCUCCCCAUGUUCCUACCCUCCCCUCUCCUUCUCCUCCCCCUGCUCUGAUGGGCUUCCUCCCUCCAGCUCCACCUCCUGAGUUCAGUCUGGGCUCCUUUCACCAGUGCUCUUGCUGGGCUCCUGACCACACUCUGGCUGCAGCCUCUCCACCCUCCCAUUUGCUUUCUGUCUGUAAUAACUGAUCUGCUUUAACUGUAGUUCUGAAAUGUCCAUUCUCUAUUCACAGCAUCUGAGUGGCUCCCACUUCCCAGGAAGGAUAGUGGCAUCCCAGGCCAGGCUCUAAAUGCCUUUCACUCUCUCUCCCCUGCCCCCUUCCUCUGCCAGCCCUCACCCCCUGCGUCCACCCAGCAGUCCACACCGCCUUUGACAUCAUCCAGGAGUUGAGAUGAACACUCUGCCUUCACAUCUGCCUUUCUGGGGGAACUUGCUCUCUGUUGCAUCUACCACUGGGUCCUGGCUCUGGAUUCCUGGCUGCUGAACUGCAUUCCUCUGAGGCCUUGGCUUGAACCAUCUGCUCUGCUGAUUUUCCUCUGACUCACUCGGGCUGUGUCGUAACUCCUUGUCUUUCUUCUGGUCCUGUGUGCCUUUUCUCGGCAGAUUCUUUACCACUGAGUCAGCAGGGAUGCCUGAGAUAACACAUUUCUGACUUCUGCCAAUUUUGCUGAGGCCCAAGGACCGUUGAAGAAUCAAGAAACACCCAAGAGCAGCCGGGCCGCUCGUCUUACACACGUGGAAGCCGACACCAGCGGAGCGCGUAGAUGGUGUCCCUCGGCGCGUGGCGCAGCUCGGGCCGGGGUCCCUCACUCCACGCCCAGGGUCUCUCCUGAGCCCACCGCUUCCUCCCCCAGGUCAGAGGAGAGCACCGGGACCCACUGCCAGGCCUCUCAGGGCUCUGUGACCCUCGGGAGGCGUGUCUGAGGGUCUGGGGGUCAGACAGAGCCUUUAUCAGAGGGGCUGAGAGGGGCGGGAGCUCGGCCGGCUCCUCUCCUGUGGCCCAGCUGUGUCUUCUGCAGCUCACUUUCUACUCCUCACGGUGACCGAGAAUUUAUAGCUUCCCAAGGAGGGCCCUUCCAUAUUUUAACAAGUGUAGUGAAGGGUCCUUCCUGUCAUUGUAUAUUUUAUUUGCCACCAGAGCUUUGAACAAGCAGUGACACACUCCAUCAAGCCCUCAUGUAAUUGUAGACACUUCUAAGAAGGGUUCAAGAUAAACUUUAAAAAAAAAAAGCUCCUAGGCAAUUGAACCACUUGAGCUGUGACAUAAAAUCAUUUCCUUUAAUCUAGUUUAUUCAUUGUGGAUAGCACUCCAAAAUAAUACUUUAAAAGUCAUCAUGGUCUUUUGGCCUUUAUUUCUGAAGGUCUUUGCUGGUGGGCCCCAUUUGUCUGAGGAGAUCAGUAUAUGAACAUGAAACAGCAUCAUUUCCAGUCUGAUGAAAGUUGCCAUUUUCCUCUUCUCUGCAAGGGAAACACCACCUCGGCUCACCCCGCAGCUAUUUCACACUGUCAGGAAUGGAGGCCAAAAAAGCCCCUGUGCUGUACUCAUAAGUGUAACUGGAUCCCUUAGAAACCAGCCCAGCUAAUCUCCACCC